GUCUACGGCCAUGCUACCCCGAACACACCUGAUCCCGUCUGAUCUCGAAAGCUAAGCAGGGUCAGGCCUGCUUAGUACUUGGAUGGGAGACCACCUAAGAAGACCAGGUGCUAUAGGCA
rnacentral:rRNA from 1 species